GCGGAGGAACAUGUGGUUUAAUUCGAUGAUACGCGAGGAACCUUACCUGGGCUAGAACGCAUUCGGAAUCAGGCCGAAAGGCCUGCGCCAGCGAUGGCCGCUUGCGAGGUGCUGCAUGGUUGUCGUCAGCUCGUGCCGUGAGGUGUCGGGUUAAGUCCCAUAACGAGCGCAACCCCUACUGCUAGUUGCCAGCGGGUCAUGCCGGGGACUCUAGCGGAACUGCCAGCGUAAGCUGCGAGGAAGGUGGGGAUGACGUCAAAUCAGCACGGCCCUUACGUCCAGGGCUACACACGUGUUACAAUGGCCGGUACAGAGGGCAGCCACCCCGCGAGGGGGCGCGAAUCCCGAAAGCCGGUCCCAGUUCGGAUCGGAGUCUGCAACCCGACUCCGUGAAGCUGGAUUCGCUAGUAAUCGCGCAUCAGCCAUGGCGCGGUGAAUACGUUCCCGGGCCUU
rnacentral:rRNA from 1 species